AAAAUACAGACACCAGGUGACUACUCGUUGUUUGCUUCGCUAGUUUUGUUACUCACUCUUGUUUCUGAUACGUGGUAAAAUAUCACCUGCAAAGAAAACCACAUUGUUUUCUUAUGAACAAUGAAACGAUGGAUUACAAUGACGUGUGGUGCUCUCCCAAAGAGAGGACGAGAGUACGAACGGACAAUCAAGACAAUCGACAGAGGGAAAGAAAGGCAGAUGAAACGAGUGGAGAGAGACAGAAAGAAAGAUGCAUAGAUACAGUGGGAGGAGAGGAGACCAGUCACUGUGGAUCGUCUGCGCAUUAAAAGAAGGGAAAAUUGAAAGAUCAUAGAGGAGAGAAGGAGAGAGCCAAAUGUCAAAUGGAAAGAGAUGGUGUCUGAAGAGGAGGAAGAGC